rnacentral:rRNA from 1 species
UACGAAGGGGGCUAGCGUUGCUCGGAAUCACUGGGCGUAAAGCGCACGUAGGCGGACUCUUGAGUCAGGGGUGAAAUCCUGGAGCUCAACUCCAGAACUGCCUUUGAUACUGGGAGUCUUGAGUUCGGGAGAGGUGAGUGGAACUGCGAGUGUAGAGGUGAAAUUCGUAGAUAUUCGCAAGAACACCAGUGGCGAAGGCGGCUCACUGGCCCGAUACUGACGCUGAGGUGCGAAAGCGUGGGGAGC